rnacentral:rRNA from 1 species
GACGAACGCUGGCGGCGUGCUUAACACAUGCAAGUCGAACGAGUGGCGGACGGGUGAGUAAUGCUUGGGAAUCUAGCUUAUGGAGGGGGAUAACUACGGGAAACUGUAGCUAAUACCGCGUACCAUAGGAUGAGCCCAAGUGGGAUUAGGUAGUUGGGGAGGUAAAGGCUCACCAAGCCGACGAUCCCUAGCUGGUGUGAGAGGAUGACCAGCCACACUGGGACUGAUACACGGCCCAGACUCCGACGGGAGGCAGCAGUGGGGAAUAUGGCGCAAUGGGGGCAACCUGACGCAGCCAGGCCGCGUGAAUGAAGAAGGCCUUCGGGUUGUAAAGUUCUGUCGGUAGCGAGGCGUUAACUACAGAAGAAGCACCGGCUAACUCCGUGCCAGCAGCCGCGGUAAUAC